GCCCUCGUGGUCCAAUGGACAAGACAUUAGAUUGCGGAUCUAAAAAUGCAGGUUCGAAUCCUACCGAGGGCA
rnacentral:tRNA from 1 species